rnacentral:rRNA from 1 species
UACGGGGGGGUGCGAGCGUUGUCCGGAAUCACUGGGCGUAAAGGGCGCGUAGGUGGUUUGAUAAGGGUGUGGUGAAAGUCCGGAGCUCAACUCCGGAUCUGCCGUGCCGACUGUCAAACUCGAGGGCUGUAGAGGCAGACGGAAUUCCGGGUGUAGCGGUGGAAUGCGUAGAGAUCCGGAGGAAGACCGGUGGCGGAAGGCGGUCUGCUGGGGCAGUUUCUGACACUGGAGGCGCGACGAGCGUGGGGAGCAAACAGG